rnacentral:rRNA from 1 species
AGUGAACGCUGGCGGUAGGCCUAACACAUGCAAGUCGAACGGCAGCACAGUAAGAGCUUGCUCUUACGGGUGGCGAGUGGCGGACGGGUGAGGAAUACAUCGGACUCUACUUUUUCGUGGGGGCUAACGUAGGGAAACUUAUGCUAAUACCGCAUACGACCUACGGGUGAAAGUAGGGGAUCUUUGGACCUUGCGUGAUUGAAUGAGCCGAUGUCGGAUUAGUCAGUAGGUGGGGUAAAGGGCCAACAAGGCGACGAUCAGUAGCUGGUCUGAGAGGAUGAUCAGCCACACUGUAACUGAGACACAGUCCAGACUCCUGCGGUGGGCAGCAGUGGGGAAUAUUGGACAAUGGACGCAAGCCUGAUCCAGCCAUACCGCGUGGGUGAAGAAGGCCUUCGAGUUGUAAAGCCCUUUUGUUGGGAAAGAAAAGCAGCAGGUUAAUACCCCACUGUUCUGACGGUACCCAAAGAAUAAGCACCGGCUAACUUCGUG